rnacentral:misc_RNA from 1 species
GAAACCAUAUGCUUUUCAAAAACAACCUAAAAAUCGAAAAUUGUAAGAGAAUAUCCAUAGAAUUUCUCCCUUUCCAAUACUAUUCAUUUUGAUCCUACGGCUAUGAUUAACCCAAAAUCCUCUACAAAUAUCCUCCUAGACUCACUUCAUUGAUUGCCCUUUUUACUUUACUCUAGCUGCCCUCUCAGACUCAAUUCCUCCUUCUCUUCCUCUCUAGAUCUAACG